UACGUAGGUGGCAAGCGUUGUCCGGAAUUAUUGGGCGUAAAGCGCGCGCAGGCGGUCCUUUAAGUCUGAUGUGAAAGCCCACGGCUCAACCGUGGAGGGUCAUUGGAAACUGGGGGACUUGAGUGCAGAAGAGGAAAGCGGAACUCCACGUGUAGCGGUGAAAUGCGUAGAGAUGUGGAGGAACACCAGUGGCGAAGGCGGCUUUCUGGUCUGUAACUGACGCUGAGGCGCGAAAGCGUGGGGAGCAAACAGG
rnacentral:rRNA from 1 species